CUCACAGAGAUCCUCCUGCCUCUGCCUCCCGAGUGCUGGGAUUAAAGGCGUGUGCCACCACCGCCCGGCUGAUGUGAGUUUUAAUGUAUCUAUAAAGAGUGUAUAAUGUAUAAGUUUUAAUGUAUAUAUACUCUCUAGUUGGAAUCUAUUAAAUACAAUUGAAUGAAAGUAGCCAUGGUAAAUAUAGACUUGGUAUGUAGUAUUACAUUGGUCAGUCCAUAUAUGAAACCUUAAUGGGUCACAAGUGAGUUAUAUAUCAUUGCAGCAGAUGAUUGUCUAGAUAAAGACUUAGCUAAGGUUCAUUAAUGUUUAAAGUGUAUUAGAUUAAUGUUUAAAAUGUAUUAAAGUGUAGACUUUUGAUUAUUCACCGGUAGCUAGUGAGUUAAUUGGUAAGCAAGGCUGGAUAAUAAGAAAUGAAGUAGCCAAACCCUGGAUCAAUAUCACUGCUGGUGUGAGUCAUAGGUGGUGAAGUGCAUCUGGAACACUGAAACCCCAGAGGAAAAUAAUUAGAGCUGUUGCCCACUCCAGAAUGAAUGCUAUAGAUAGAUUCGUGAUUUCAUAAGACUCUUGUCUGAGUUUGUUUUUCACAGGUUUUGAUUAUUUUGUAGUCAGAAAAUCAAUAAGAGGAUGUACAAUCAAAACACUUGGUUGGACAUGUUAAAGAGGUAUGUUUUUUAUUGUGAGUGAUUUAAAAGUAUAAAGAAUAAUAUAUAAUUAUAAAUAAGUAAAUUUGAAAGGGGCAUAGUAUCAUAUAAUUAUAGCAAAAUGAGAAAGAGAACACUAUGAACAGUAUUAAUGCUAAUAAAUAGUGAUAAUUGGCCAAAGGACAAAUGUUCAGAGGUAUUUCUUAUGGCUAAUAGUAAUGGCAGAGAAUCUAAGUGAUGGCUGGUAUUCUUGCAUUGGAUUAAUGGAAGUUCAAUGGUGUCUUGUUCUUCUUAAUAGACUAUGAAAUAUACAUCCAAGUAAUUUCACAGUGAUUCAAAGAUACCAGGAUCAGUGGAAGAAAUGUCUCAAUUUUAUCAGGGUCUGCUUCACUGUGUAGUGAGGUUGAGGCUACACAGAACUAUAUAAGUCCCUGCCUUUAAGAAAGUCCAAUUACUCAAUGUACACAGUAAGCAAGGAAAGAUGAAAAAAAGGAGUAUAUCUGUGCCCAUUCUUAGUGUAUGCAUAGAGCAGCAAGGAUAGUUAGUGUGAACGUGUACUCAAACUAGCCCCACCCCCCAAGAAGCCCAUGAUAAAACAUCAAGGCUUUUUUUAACUGAGUUUUUAAUAAUUAAUAGAUACUUAUUAUAUUGUCAUUAGAGAUUUACUAACUAAUUAAACAAUAAGCUAGACGAGAAUAACUAGAAAUGGGUCCUACCAUGUUUGCUGUUGCUGGUGGUAUAUGAAUCCCACAGUGGGUACAUUGUUUGAUGCUGUCAGGUCCAGCAAAGACAAGAUAAAAUGUACCAUUUAUGUUUAAAGGGCUCCUACAUGUGGAUGCCAAGAAUGCAAAGGGACCUUUUUCCUUAGAUUGUUUUUAUGCAACUAUAUUCUUUUACUGUACACAGAUAAAUGUGACUACUACCACAGACAUCAAAUGUAGACAGAUGAGAGUAGGAGGCCUGUAGCAUACUGGCAAAGUCAGAUAAGUAUUAACAUAUAUUACUUCAAAUUCAUAUACACAUAAGUAUCUUGAUAAAAGAACAUGGUCUUAAUCUCCUUUUUACUGUGUUUUGCUUUUGACAUCCUAGACUGAACUGCGAACUGGCUUCUGUGUUCCUCAGCUUUCUGGUCCCUACCAUUGCCUCUGAGGGAACAGUGCUUUCCAGUUAAUGGAGGACUCUGCCAUGCUGCUUGUUCAUGGGUGGAGAGCACAGAGACCAAUGUGAGUGAGAAUUAAUGUUCAUGAGCUUGUGAGUUUUUCUUGAAGCAUUUAUUACAUUAUUAAAAGUUUAAAGAAGUCCCAACAAGGCCAACUGUGGAAAAUGAUAAAUAUGGAAUUAGCAUGAAAUAUUACACUUAUAAAUUCAUUGAUGAUAAUUAGAGAACAUGAUAUGAGUAUGGCCAACAAUCCUAAAGGCACAAAGAAUACUUAUUGCUCUUAGAUUUCAUGAACCAUAGUUUUUAAAUUUAUGACUAUUGAAUUAAAUUACUUCUUUAAUAAACACAUGUAAAUUAGUGUGAAUAAAGAGGUCCCAACCAGGACCAAUGAUGGUAAUGAGGGUUUAAUGAGUUGUGGUGAUGUGUGGUAUAAGCCCAAAAUGCUGAGGUCUGGUUAAUUAAUACAGGUAGUAUGAUGAUUUGUCAAAGAAGAAUCUAAGACAACAAAUGAUUGUCUGUAUAGAAGAUAAGCACAUUUAAGGUUCUUGCUUUUGAGUUUUUAUCCAUAGUUCCAAUUUUAUUGUUAUUAGUGAAUUAAUAAGUUAAAUAGCAAUCAGAUGUAGAUGACUGUGAAGAAAGAGUCAUGACCCAGAACCAUUGUUGAGGUGGUCACAUGUGAGUCAGAAAAGAUGAAUAAUUCAUGUGUGGGCCUUCAAGGCAUGAUCAUGUUGACAGCUUUCAGGAAAAUA